rnacentral:rRNA from 1 species
UACGCAGACGGUGUCAAAGGUCGGAUGUGAAAGCCCCGGGCUCAACCCGGGAAAUGCAUCCGAAACCGUGGCGCUAGAGUGUGGGAGAGGGAAGUGGAAUUCCUGGUGUAGAGGUGAAAUUCGUAGAUAUCAGGAGGAACACCUGCGGCGAAGGCGGCUUCCUGGCCCAUUACUGACGUUCAGGUACGAAAGCGUGGGUAGCAAACA